GACGAACGCUGGCGGCGUGCUUAACACAUGCCAGUCGAACGGAAAGGCCCUGCUUUUGUGGGGUGCUCGAGUGGCGAACGGGUGAGUAACACGUGAGUAACCUGCCCUUGACUUUGGGAUAACUUCAGGAAACUGGGGCUAAUACCGGAUAGGAGCUCCUGCUGCAUGGUGGGGGUUGGAAAGUUUCGGCGGUUGGGGAUGGACUCGCGGCUUAUCAGCUUGUUGGUGGGGUAGUGGCUUACCAAGGCUUUGCCGGGUAGCCGGCCUGAGAGGGUGACCGGCCACAUUGGGACUGAGAUACGGCCCAGACUCCUACGGGAGGCAGCGGUGGGGAAUAUUGCACAAUGGGCGGAAGCCUGAUGCAGCAACGCCGCGUGCGGGAUGACGGCCUUCGGGUUGUAAACCGCUUUCGCCUGUGACGAAGCGUGAGUGACGGUAAUGGGUAAAGAAGCACCGGCUAACUACGUG
rnacentral:rRNA from 1 species